rnacentral:rRNA from 1 species
GACGAACGCUGGCGGCGUGCCUAACACAUGCAAGUCGAACGGACGAGGCCCCUUCGGGGACCGAGUUAGUGGCGAACGGGUGAGUAGCGCGUGAGCAACCUGCCUUUCAGAGGGGGACAACAGUUGGAAACGACUGCUAAUACCGCAUAAUGCGGCGAGACCGCAUGAUCUUGCUGCCAAAGAUUUAUCGCUGAAAGAUGGCCUCGCGUCUGAUUAGAUAGUUGGUGGGGUAACGGCCCACCACGUGGACGAUCAGUAGCCGGACUGAGAGGUGGAACGGCCACAUUGGGACUGAGAUACGGCCCAGAAUCCGACGGGAGGCAGCAGUGGGGAAUAUUGGGCAAUGGGGGAAACCCUGACCCAGCAACGCCGCGUGAAGGAAGAAGGCUUUCGGGUUGUAAACUUCUUUUACCAGGGACGAAGAGCGUGACGGUACCUGGAGAAAAAGCCACGGCUAACUACGUGCCAGCAGCCGCCGUAAGAC